UAGGGAAUCUUCCGCAAUGGACGAAAGUCUGACGGAGCAACGCCGCGUGAGUGAAGAAGGAUUUCGGUUCGUAAAACUCUGUUGUUAGGGAAGAAAAAAUGUAUAGUAACUAUAUACAAAAGAGACGGUACCUAACCAGAAAGCCACGGCUAACUACGUGCCAGCAGCCGCGGUAAUACGUAGGUGGCAAGCGUUGUCCGGAAUUAUUGGGCGUAAAGCGCGCGCAGGUGGUUUAGAAAGUCUGAUGUGAAAGCCAACGGCUCAACCGUGGAGGGUCAUUGGAAACUAAUAAACUUGAGUGCAGGAGAGAAAAGUGGAAUUCCUAGUGUAGCGGUGAAAUGCGUAGAGAUUAGGAGGAACACCGGUGGCGAAAGCGGCUUUUUGGCCUGCAACUGACACUGAGGCGCGAAAGCGUGGGGAGCGAACAGG
rnacentral:rRNA from 1 species